GUAGAAAAUGGUGGAUUGAACCUGUUUUUAUAGCGCUAAACCUCUCACUUUUAUGACAGUCGCAACAAAUUCCAUAAGCAAUGGCAAUCAUUGUGAAAUAAUGCACAAGGAAAUUAAAAAUUAUACCCAUCGUCCAUCUUUCCAGAAGAUCAUCAUGGGCAGUAUUAUGUCUUAUAACAGAGUACCUAUGUACAGACCAAUCUCCAUUUGUAACUCGUGCUAUGGUAUUACAUGGAGUGUAUUCAUCAUUCAGUGAAAAUUCUAACAUCUUCUAAGCUUGUUAAAAGGAAAGGUAUGUUUUAAACCUAGAAAAUAGCUGUCAAGUAGAAUGUUUUUUUCUUCAAAUUUUGAGUGUAUUGCUAAUCCACAAAAGGGCAGAGAUAAACAAUUUCAGCUAUAUGCUCCUGUCUGGAAAUGUUUACUUAAAAUGAUUUAAUAGAGCUAUAACAAUAGGACUUUUAAAGUCAUGUAGUUAUCAACCAUAUAAAAAAA
rnacentral:lncRNA from 1 species